rnacentral:rRNA from 1 species
UACGAAGGGGGGCUAGCGUUGCUCGGAAUCACUGGGCGUAAAGGGCGCGUAGGCGGGAUGGCAAGUCGGUCGUGAAAUCUCUCGGCUCAACCGAGAAACGUCGGCCGAUACUGCCGUUCUUGAGGGAUGCAGAGGAGACUGGAAUUCCCGGUGUAGCGGUGAAAUGUGUAGAGAUCGGGAGGAACACCGGUGGCGAAGGCGGGUCUCUGGGCCGAUACUGACGCUGAGGAGCGAAAGCGUGGGGAGCGAACAGG